rnacentral:rRNA from 1 species
GACGAACGCUGGCGGCGUGCCUAAUACAUGCAAGUUGAGCGAUGAAGAUUGGUGCUUGCACCAAUUUGAAGAGCAGCGAACGGGUGAGUAACGCGUGGGGAAUCUGCCUUUGAGCGGGGGACAACAUUUGGAAACGAAUGCUAAUACCGCAUAACAACUUUAAACAUAAGUUUUAAGUUUGAAAGAUGCAAUUGCAUCACUCAAAGAUGAUCCCGCGUUGUAUUAGCUAGUUGGUGAGGUAAAGGCUCACCAAGGCGAUGAUACAUAGCCGACCUGAGAGGGUGAUCGGCCACAAUGGGAAUGAGACACGGCACAAACUCCUACGGGAGGCAGCAGUAGGGAAUCUUCGGCAAUGGACGAAAGUCUGACCGAGAAACGCCGCGUGAGUGAAGAAGGUUUUCGGAUCGUAAAACUCUGUUGGUAGAGAAGAACGUUGGUGAGAGUGGAAAGCUCAUCAAGUGACGGUAACUACCCAGAAAGGGACGGCUAACUACGUG